rnacentral:rRNA from 1 species
AUUGCAGGCUGCAACUCGCCUGCNUGAAGUCGGAAUUGCUAGUAAUCGUGGAUCAGCAUGCCACGGUGAAUACGUUCCCGGGCCUUGUACACACCGCCCGUCACACCAUGGGAGUCGGUAACACCCGAAGCCUGUAGUCUAACCGCAAGGAGGACGCAGUCGAAGGUGGGAUUGAUGACUGGGGUGAAGUCGUAACAAGGUAAC